AUGUCAAUGAUUUUAAGAAGAAGCCUGGACUUUCCUCUAUUCUUUCCAAAUCACACCAUUGAGAGACAGAACUGCGGAGAGAAAAAAGAGAAAUGGAGCCAAUGCAGUGAAAUAUUAGCAGUUAGGGAAUCUGGUGAUUUAACAUGGCCCUUUAAAAAAUGCCUUGGAAGACGUGUCCACCAGCUGCUAGAUCAGAUACACGUUUUUCUUCAUCAGCUGAAGCACCAACAUCCUGGUCAAGCAUGGAUCGGGAGCCACUCAGAUCCCUUGGCUUUGUGCUUCCUUUCAGCCCAUAGCCUGUGGCAUUUGCUUCCAAACAUCAACUGAAGCACAGGGAAAUUUGCAGUGUUUUUAACAGUAUGUGCGAAGCUCCAGGUGCCCUGACGGUGUAGCAAAGAACUUAAGAGACUGUUGAGGAAUAAAUGGCAAAGUUGUGGCCUUGGCCAACAGAACACUUGCUCUCAAACUAUGGCCUAAUUCACCAAGAAGCCUCAAGUCAAAGUCAAAAUACAGAAUUUCAGAAUCUUUGAGGAAGGGAGUAGGUGUUUGCUUUCAAAAAAAAUACUUAAUUAGGGAUCCCUGGGUGGCACAGCGGUUUGGCGCCUGCCUUUGGCCUAGGGCGCGAUCCUGGAGACCCGGGAUCGAAUCCCACGUCGGGCUCCCGGUGCAUGGAGCCUGCUUCUCCCUCUGCCUGUGUCUCUGCCUCUCUCUCUCUCUCACUGUGUGCCUUUCAUAAAAAAAAAAAACAAAAACAAAAACAAAAAAAAAAAUACUUAAUUAAAAAAAGUAAUUUGAAAUGAAUCAUAUACAUACCUAUAAAGGCCAAACUAUAAAACUUCUUUUAAAAAACAUAGGUAAAUAUUUUUGUGACCUUAGAAGUAAGCUAAUAUUUUUUAAAGGGCCAAAAAAUGUAUAAACAAAAUAUUAGUAAAUUGGAUUUCAUCAAAACUUAAAAUUUCUACUCCUUAAAAGGUAUCAUUAAAAAAUAAAUAGGUAAAUCACAGAUGAGGAAAAAAAUAUAUUCAUGGUAUCAGUAUAUAGACAGAGUAUAUUUGUAUCCAAAAUAUAAAAAUAUCCCUUAAAAAUCAACAAUAAAAAGAUAACCAAUGAAAAAAUGGGCAGAAGAUUUAAAUAGUCACUUAAAGAAAGAAGAUACAUGAAUGGCCAAUAAGCCCAGGAAAAAGUAGUCAAUGUCAUCAAGGAAAUUCUAAUUAAAACCACAAUGAGACAACAUUUCAUCCACACUAGAAUGGCUUAAUCAAAGACUGGCUACACCAAAUACUGGUGAGGAUGAAAAACAAUUAGAACACUCAUAUGUUGCUGGUAGGUAUGCAAAAUGGUCUAACUAUUUGAAGAACUCUUCGGCAGUUUCUUAUAAAGGUAAAUACAUAUUUACUUAUGAACCAGUAAUUUCACUCCUAGGUGUUUUCCAAAGAGAAGCAAAAUGUAUGUUUACACACACACACACACACACACACAGGCAUACACAUGUGUGUGCUUUAUAAGAAUGUUUAUGGAAACCUUAUUUGUAGCAGCCAGGUACUGGAAACAAUCCCAAAUAUCCAUCAACAGAAAAUUAGAAAAACAAAUUGUGAUGUAUUUAUACAAUGGAAUAUUACUCAGAUAUAAAAAGGAGCAGCUACCUACACAAGCAACAAUGUGCAAGAAUCUCACAGACAUGAUAUUGAGUGAAAGAAACCAGACACAACAGAAUACAGUGUGUUUCCAUUUAAAUGAUAUCUUAGGCAGGUAAAAUUGAUUGAUUGGGAUCAAAGUAGGAAAGCAGAUCUUUCUGGGAAAGAGUGGAAUUGACUAGAAAGGGUGAUGAGGGGAUCUUCUGAGGUCAUGGCAACAUUCUGUAUCUUAUUUGGGUGGUGGUUAAAUAGGUCCAUGAAAUUGUCAAAACUCAAUGAACUAAACUCUUAAUAUUUGUGCAUAUUUGGGUGUGUACAUGAUAUAGCAAUUUUUAAAAUGUGACUUUUAAAAAACUAGAAAGCUACAAGAAACUGGAAGAAAACUUCCUUUAUUUGAUAAAGAGUAUGUUCCUCCAAUACCUAGCAAACAUCAUACUUAACUGAGAAACAUUAGAAGCAUUCCCAUUAAAUUCAGACAUAAAAUAAGCAUUUUUAGUACUACUUCUACUCAACAUUAUCCUGGAAAUGCCUGUCAAAUAAUAUUACAAAAAAAGGGGCACCUGAGUGGCUCAGUCAAUUAAACAUCUGGCUUCAACUCCAGUCAUGACCCCAGGGUCCUGGGAUCGAGUCCCAAAAGGGGACUCACGCUUAAUAGGGAGAGUCUGCUUCUCCCUUUCCCUCUGCAGCUCUCCUUGCUCAAGUGCUCUCUCUCAAAUAAAUAAAUAAAAACCUAAUAAUAAUAAUAAUAACAGUAACAAUAUUCAAAAAAAGAAAUAAGUAUAAAUACUGGAAAAUAAAAGACAAAUUUCCCAUUUGCCAAUGAUUAUCUAACUAAAAAAUUAAAGAGAGUCAGCUGAAAUCCUAUUAGAACUAACAAAUUUUAGCAGGAAGGUCAGAAAUAAGAUCGAUAUACAAAAAAAAAAAAAAACUUCAUCUCUAAUUCCUUAAUAAUUUCAAAGCAUAAUGCAAAACCAUCCCAUUCACAGUAGAAUCAAAACUACAAAAUAGCUAUGAGAAAACUUGUCAAGAAAAGAAAACAAAAUGAAGAAUUAAUAAGAAAGAAGGAUUUUUUUAAAAGACCAAACUAAAUAUAAACACUAACUUUCUAGUUGGAAAAACUCAAAAAUUGAAAAAUUAUCCAUUUUCCCAAUGAAUCUAUCAAUUCAGGAUAAAGAAUUUUAUCCUUAUUCUUCACCAAGAAUUUUGCGACUCUUAAGCUUAAUGCUAAAUUUCAUGUGAUAAAGAAAAUACACAAGAUUAAAAGAAAAUUGUGGAUAGGCCUUGCCCAGAUAGUCUCUGAAAUACUUUGAAGCUAUAGUAAGUAAUUACAUUAAUGUGAUAUGGAUAUAGAAAUAUACAGAUAAAUAAAACAGAAUAAAAAAUCCAGAAACAGACUCACAUAUAAGUAGAACUUCAGUAUAUUCCAUAAACAUGGCAUCAGAAUCAGAAGAUAUGCUCAUUGGACAAAGGACAUUAGAAUAAAUAUCUAUAUUUGGAAAAAAUAAAAUCAAACUAAACCCUUAUUUCAAAUUAUACACUAAAAAUCACAGCAAAUGUAGUGGAGAGCUAAAGGCGAAAAACACAUUUAAAAAUUAGAAUAAAGGCAAAAAAAAUCAGAUUUGUAAUCUUAAAAUUGAAAAGGCCUUCUUAGGUUAUAAAAUACCAGAAUUCAAAAUGGGAAAGAAUGAUUAAUUAAAUAAAUAAAGCUUAAAUUUUUCUUAAUGAUGAAAUUGACCAUAAAUAAAGUAAAAAGACAAUAGUGGUAGAAAAUAAUAGAAUACAAAACAAAUAGAGAAUUAAUACGCAAUCUAUAUAUAGAUCAAAGAUUGUGAAGAGGUAAUUGGUAGAAAAACUAUAAAUGGCUAAUCAAAACCCAUCAAAAGGGGAUCCCUGGGUGGCUCAGCGGUUUAGCGCCUGCCUUUGGCCCAGGGUGUGAUCCUAGAGAUCCAGGAUUGAGUCCCACGUCGGGCUCCCAGGAUGGAGCCUGCUUCUCCCCCUGCCUGUGUCUCUGCCUCUCUCUCCUCUUUCUAUGUCUAUCAUGAAUAAAUAAAUAAAAAUCUUUUUUAAAAACAUCAAAAGUUGGGCAGCCCUAGUGGCCUAGUGGUUUAGCGCCACCUUCAGCCCAGGGCGUGAUCCUGGAGACCCGGGAUCGAGUCUCACGUCGGGCUUCCUGCGUGGAGCCUGCUUCUCCUUCUACCUGUGUCUCUGCCUCUCUCUCUCUCUGUAUUUCUCAUGAAUAAAUAAAUAAAAUAUUUUUAAAAAAUCAAAAGUUGUCUAACCUCACUAGUAAUCAAGGAAAUACAUAUUAAUGUAAUGUUAUAUUUCUUCUAUCAGAUUAAUAAGAAAUUUAAAAGAUUUAUAAUACCUACUACAAGCAAGGAUUCAGGAAAAUAAGCACUGUUAGUAGAUAAAUUGGUAAAUUCUUUAGAAGGGAACUGAGGCAGUUCUUAAUGAAAUUUUAAAUG
rnacentral:lncRNA from 1 species